GUCGAGGGGUAACAGAAAAGCUUGCUUUUGCUGACGACCGGCGCACGGGUGCGUAACGCGUAUGCAACCUACCUCAUACUGGAGGAUAGCCCCUGGAAACGGGGAUUAAUACUCCAUAGUAUCACAAUUUCGCAUGUUAUUGUGAUUAAAGUUUUUCGGUAUGAGAUGGGCAUGCGUCCCAUUAGCUUGUUGGUGAGGUAACGGCUCACCAAGGCAACGAUGGGUAGGGGGCCUGAGAGGGUGGUCCCCCACACUGGUACUGAGACACGGACCAGACUCCUACGGGAGGCAGCAGUGAGGAAUAUUGGUCAAUGGAGGAAACUCUGAACCAGCCAUGCCGCGUGAAGGAUGACGGCCCUAUGGGUUGUAAACUUCUUUUAUAGAGGAAGAAACUUGUCUACGUGUAGACAACUGACGGUACUCUACGAAUAAGGAUCGGCUAACUCCGUGCCAGCAGCCGCGGUAAUACGGAGGAUCCAAGCGUUAUCCGGAUUCAUUGGGUUUAAAGGGUCCGUAGGCGGAUUUUUAAGUCAGUGGUGAAAGCCGACAGCUCAACUGUCGAACUGCCAUUGAUACUGGAAAUCUUGAGUACAAAUGAAGUAGGCGGAAUGAGUCAUGUAGCGGUGAAAUGCAUAGAUAUGACUCAGAACACCGAUUGCGAAGGCAGCUUACUAACAUGUAACUGACGCUGAGGGACGAAAGCGUGGGGAGCGAACAGGAUUAGAUACCCUGGUAGUCCACGCCGUAAACGAUCAUCACUCGCUGUUGGCGAUAUACUGUCAGCGGCCAAGCGAAAGUAUUAAGUGAUGCACCUGGGGAGUACGCCGGCAACGGUGAAACUCAAAGGAAUUGACGGGGGCCCGCACAAGCGGUGGAGCAUGUGGUUUAAUUCGAUGAUACGCGAGGAACCUUACCAGGGCUUAAAUGUAGUCUGACCGGCUUGGAAACAGGCCUUCUCUUCGGAGCAGAUUACAAGGUGCUGCAUGGUUGUCGUCAGCUCGUGCCGUGAGGUGUUAGGUUAAGUCCUGCAACGAGCGCAACCCCUAUUCUUAGUUGCCAGCGGUUCGGCCGGGG
rnacentral:rRNA from 1 species